rnacentral:sRNA from 2 species
GAUGAGAAGCUUCGACUAAGGUUCGACUCGAGCGAAGCGAGAGAACGUUGCCGCAGGCAACGGCCCGAAGGGCGAGGCGCUUUAGCGCCGAGUAAUCCUUCCCCCACCACCA